rnacentral:rRNA from 1 species
AGAGUUUGAUCCUGGCUCAGGAUGAACGCUGGCGGCGUGCCUAACACAUGCAAGUCGAGCGAACCCUUCGGGGUGAGCGGCGGACGGGUGAGUAACGCGUGGGUAACCUGCCCUAUACACACGGAUAACGUACCGAAGGGUACGCUAAUACGAGAUAACAUAUUUUUAUCGCAUGGUAGAAAUAUCAAGGCUUUUGCGGUAUAGGAUGGACCCGCGUCUGAUUAGCUAGUUGGUAAGGUAAUGGCUUACCAAGGCGACGAUCAGUAGCCGACCUGAGAGGGUGAUCGGCCACAUUGGAACUGAGACACGGUCCAAACUCCUACGGGAGGCAGCAGUGGGGAAUAUUGCACAAUGGGCGAAAGCCUGAUGCAGCAACGCCGCGUGAGCGAUGAAGGCCUUCGGGUCGUAAAGCUCUGUCCUCAAGGAAGAUAAUGACGGUACUUGAGGAGGAAGCCCCGGCUAACUACGUGCCAGCAGCCGCGGUAAUACGUAGGGGGCUAGCGUUAUCCGGAAUUACUGGGCGUAAAGGGUGCGUAGGUGGUUUCUUAAGUCAGAGGUGAAAGGCUACGGCUCAACCGUAGUAAGCCUUUGAAACUGAGAAACUUGAGUGCAGGAGAGGAGAGUAGAAUUCCUAGUGUAGCGGUGAAAUGCGUAGAUAUUAGGAGGAAUACCAGUUGCGAAGGCGGCUCCCUGGACUGUAACUGACACUGAGGCACGAAAGCGUGGGGAGCAAACAGGAUUAGAUACCCUGGUAGUCCACGCCGUAAACGAUGAGUACUAGCUGUCGGAGGUUACCCCCUUCGGUGGCGCAGCUAAC